rnacentral:rRNA from 1 species
UGGCGGACGGGUGAGUAAUGUCUGGGAAACUGCCCGAUGGAGGGGGAUAACUACUGGAAACGGUAGCUAAUACCGCAUAACGUCGCAAGACCAAAGAGGGGGACCUCCGGGCCUCGCGCCAUCAGAUGAACCCAUAUGGGAUUAGCUAGUAGGUAAGGUAACGGCUUACCUAGGCGACGAUCCCUAGCUGGUCUGAGAGGAUGAUCAGCCACACUGGGACUGAGACACGGCCCAG